AAAUCGCUAUCUCUCUCAAAUCUCUCGGGAUAUUUCACUUUUUGGGGAGAAAUAAGAGACUGUUAGAAGGAGCAAAUUAAUGCCAAUGCAUAAACUACAGAUCCCAUAAUGCACUGUGAGGUCUGUACCCACUAUAAGGCUUUUACUGGAAGUGAGGGACGCUGACUGCUGUUGCGUGUGCUAUUUAGCUGACAAAAAUGUUGGGCAACCAGGCUGUAGACUUUUAUCACUGGCAUGUGGAAAGGGCCUUCAUCUCCCAUGAUGCACUAUAAGGGUUGACCAUAAGAGAUGAAGGAGUAUGACAGAAGGCGACCACUCCAGCACCAACGGGAGGAAAGGAAAAAAGAAUGAGAUCCUGAUAACCCGGCACAGCUCUCUCCAGAGCCAACUGAGAAUCACUGCAGACAGAUUUCCAGCAUGAGAUGUUCCAGCUACUGUUGAACUACAAAUCACACAAUCCCUGGAUGUUGUUGGCAGAUAAGAAUCCCAGGCAGCAUAAAAGAAGAAGAUGAUUGGUUGAAGAAUGGGAUGGUAUAUUCCACUGUGUCUCACAGCAGGGGGGUCAUUGAUGGUAAUGUUCCAGUAAUGAGAUGUCUAUUCCGUUUAUGAAACAGAAAGAUAUGAAGGGGGCGUGGGAGCUCCCACCAGCAA